rnacentral:rRNA from 1 species
AAAUUGAAGAGUUUGAUCAUGGCUCAGAUUGAACGCUGGCGGCAGGCCUAACACAUGCAAGUCGAACGGUAACAGGAAGAAGCUUGCUUUUUUGCUGACGAGUGGCGGACGGGUGAGUAAUGUCUGGGAAACUGCCUGAUGGAGGGGGAUAACUACUGGAAACGGUAGCUAAUACCGCAUAACGUCGCAAGACCAAAGAGGGGGACCUUCGGGCCUCUUGCCAUCGGAUGUGCCCAGAUGGGAUUAGCUAGUAG